rnacentral:ncRNA from 1 species
UAAAAGUUUUAUUUUAGCUAAAAAUUUAUUUAAUUUAUAUUUUACAUGUAAAUUUUUGUAUGAAUUAUUUAUAUUUUAAAAAAAUAUAUAUGUAUAUUUUAUAUAAUCUCAGUAUUUAAUUUUAAAAAUAAAAGAAAUUUUGAUUUAGUAAUAAAUUAUAUUAUAGGAUAAUUUUGUGCCAGCAUCUGCGGUUAUACAAAUUAUGAAAAUAAAUUAUUUUAGUUUAUAGUUAUUUAAUAUUUUAAUAAAAUUAAAAAUUAAAUUUUUAGGUUAAAUUAUAAAUUUAAUAUUAAUUUUUAAUAAAAAUAAUAAAGCUAUUAAAUCUUUAAAAUAAACUAGGAUUAGAUACCCUACUAUAAAAAAUGUAAUAUAUUAAAAACUUAGGUAGUAUUAGAUAUAAUCUUGAAACUUAAAAAAUUUGGCGGUGUUUUAAUCUAUUUAGAGGAACCUGUUCUAUAAUUGAUAAACCACGUUAAAUUUUACUAAAUUUUAUUAAAUUUGUAUACCGUCGUUAUCAGAUUAUUUUAAAAGAAAAUAAUAUUCAAAAAAUUUUAUAAAAUUUUAUUUCAGAUCAAGGUGCAGUUUAUAAUUUAGAAGAAAUGGGUUACAAUAAAGUUAUUUAAAUGGAUAAAUUAUUGAAAUAUAAUUUUUAAAGUGGAUUUAAUAGUAAUAUUAAUAAAAUAAUUAUUAUGAUUUUAGUUCUAAAACAUGUACAUAUCGCCCGUCGCUCUUUCUUUUAAAGAAAGAUAAGUCGUAACAAAGUAGAUGUACUGGAAAGUGUAUCUAGAAUGAU